UACAGAGGUCUCAAGCGUUGUUCGGAUUCAUUGGGCGUAAAGGGUGCGUAGGUGGCGCGAUAAGUCGGGUGUGAAAUCUCGGAGCUUAACUCCGAAACUGCAUUCGAUACUGCCGUGCUUGAGGACUGGAGAGGAGACUGGAAUUUACGGUGUAGCGGUGAAAUGCGUAGAUAUCGUAAGGAAGACCAGUGGCGAAGGCGGGUCUCUGGACAGUUCCUGACGCUGAGGCACGAAGGCCAGGGGAGCAAACGGG
rnacentral:rRNA from 1 species